rnacentral:rRNA from 1 species
CCCUUAGAUGUUCUGGGCCGCACGCGUGCUACACUGAUGCAUUCAACGAGUCUAAAACCUGGUCUGAUAGGGCUGGGUAAUCUUUUGAAAGUGCAUCGUGAUUGGGAUAGAUGAUUGCAAUUCUUCAUCUUCAACGAGGAAUGCCUAGUAAACGCAAGUCAUCAGCUUGCGUUGAUUACGUCCCUGCCCUUUGUACACACCGCCCGUCGCUCCUACCGAUUGAAUGAUCCGAUGAAUAUCAUGGAUUGAGAGUACGAAUGGGUUCGCUCAUUUCUGCUGCUCGAGAAGUGAAGUAAAUCUUAUCAUUUAGAGGAAGGAGAAGUCGUAACA